rnacentral:rRNA from 1 species
AACGGACGCUGGCGGCAUGCCUAACACAUGCAAGUCGAACGAAGCCUUCGGGCUUAGUGGCGCACGGGUGCGUAACGCGUGGGAAUCUGCCCUUUGGUUCGGAAUAACAGUUGGAAACGACUGCUAAUACCGGAUGAUGACGAAAGUCCAAAGAUUUAUCGCCAGAGGAUGAGCCCGCGUAGGAUUAGCUAGUUGGUGUGGUAAAGGCGCACCAAGGCGACGAUCCUUAGCUGGUCUGAGAGGAUGAUCAGCCACACUGGGACUGAGACACGGCCCAGACUCCUACGGGAGGCAGCAGUGGGGAAUAUUGGACAAUGGGCGAAAGCCUGAUCCAGCAAUGCCGCGUGAGUGAUGAAGGCCCUAGGGUUGUAAAGCUCUUUUACCCAGGAUGAUAACGACAGUACCGGGAGAAUAAGCCCCGGCUAACUCCGUGCCAGCCGCCGCUGUAA